AAUUAAAUAGUCUAAGUUAAGAUUUUAAAUUGCAAGUUUAAAGAUGAAUUUAUUUCUUUAAUUU
rnacentral:tRNA from 1 species